rfam:Burkholderiales bacterium 70-64 SCNpilot_expt_1000_bf_scaffold_430, whole genome shotgun sequence.
CUCUUGCUAGGGGUCCUGGGGUGCCGUUGCGGCGCGCCGGGUGAGACAGACCCUCCGAACCUGAUGCGGGUAAUGCCGCCGAAGGGAAGCCAUCAUGAACGCCG